rnacentral:tRNA from 1 species
CAGAAAAUAGUAUAAUUAAUUAUUUAAAUUUUGGAGAUUUAGGAUGAGAGAUCUUUUCUGA